ensembl:processed_transcript Gm13778 predicted gene 13778
AGUUUUUAGCCUGGCGGAUAACUGAAAAGGAGUUUGCACAGGUGCCAGUGCAAUCUAAGAACCCAGGUGGGUCGCCAGAAGGUCUCACAACAUGCAUGGAGUGAGGCCGUGUCUGGAGAAGCCUCCACGAGGAAGAAGGGUCAGAAUCACUAGCACCAGUGAAUGUGCAUUUCUGAUCAGCUGGAUACCCGGAUAAACAUGAGUGGUUGUGGUCCAGCCCAAAGCAAACAGACUUUGGCAUCGUAGUUGGGCUGUGCCCCAGAGCCACAGAGAUGCACAUUUUCUAGAAGACUUUGGGAGACACAAAGCUUUCUUCAAGACUUUAAGAUCUGGAUACAACUGAGACAUCUGAAGAAGCUUACUAUGGGUAUAUAGCUGGGAGCUGGGGACCUUGGGCCUCAUCUAUAGCAUGAGAACACUCACGGGGAAGGAAGGCUGUAGUUAGUAUUUAUGAGGAUACCCAGCUUUUGAGGACAUUGUUAGGGUUGUUAUCUUGGUUUUGUUUUUAAGAUUAAAAAAGUGUACAAGUGUU